UCCUAGCCCAGUCAGCAAUAAAGACAGCAUCUAAGAGUGACCUGGCUAGACAGCAAGGAGCUAGGGAAUGAACAAUGCAUUUUCCACGUGCAACAUUUACCAAUAGACUUAAAAACAUAACACAAUUCAAAACAUGACACCUGCCCCAAG